AGUGAACGCUGGCGGUAGGCCUAACACAUGCAAGUCGAACGGCAGCACAGGAGAGCUUGCUCUCUGGGUGGCGAGUGGCGGACGGGUGAGGAAUACAUCGGAAUCUACUCUGUCGUGGGGGAUAACGUAGGGAAACUUACGCUAAUACCGCAUACGACCUACGGGUGAAAGCAGGUGAUCUUCGGACCUUGCGCGAUUGAAUGAGCCGAUGUCGGAUUAGCUAGUUGGCGGGGUAAAGGACCACCAAGGCGACGAUCCGUAGCUGGUCGGAGAGGAUGAACAGCCACACUGGAACUGAGACACGGUCCAGACUCCUACGGGAGGCAGCAGUGGGGAAUAUUGGACAAUGGGCGCAAGCCUGAUCCAGCCAUACCGCGUGGGUGAAGAAGGCCUUCGGGUUGUAAAGCCCUUUUGUUGGGAAAGAAAUCCAGCUGGCUAAUACCCGGUUGGGAUGACGGUACCCAAAGAAUAAGCACCGGCUAACUUCGUGCCAGCCGCCGCGGUAA
rnacentral:rRNA from 1 species